UACGGAAGGGGCAAGCGUUGUUCGGAAUCAUUGGGCGUAAAGGGCGCGUAGGUGGCCCUGUGUGUCUACCGUGAAAGCGUACGGCUCAACCGUAUUUUGUCGGUAGAAACUGCAGGACUUGAGGCUGGGAGGGGCUGGUGGAAUUCCCUGUGUAGCGGUGAAAUGCGUAGAGAUGGGGGAGAACACUCGUGGCGAAGGCGGCCAGCUAGACCAGUUCUGACACUGAGGCGCGACAGCGUGGGGAGCAAACAGG
rnacentral:rRNA from 1 species